GACGAACGCUGGCGGCGUGCUUAACACAUGCAAGUCGAACGGAAAGACCCUGCUUUUGUGUUGUGCUCGAUUGGCGAAGGGGUGAGUAACACGUGUGUAACCUGUCCCUGACUUAGGGGUAUCUUCAGGAAACUCGGGCGAUUACCCGAUAGGAGCUCUUGCUGCAUUGUGGUGGUUGGAAAUUUUCGGCGGUUGGGGCUGGACUCGAGGGUUAUCAGCUUCUUAGUGGGGUAGUGGUUUACCAAGGCUUUGACGGGUAGCCGGCCUGAGAGGGUGGCCGGCCACAUUGGGACUGAGAUACGGACCAGAAGGCUACGGGCGGCAGCAGUGGGGAAUAUGACACAACGGCACGAAGCCUGAUGCAGCAGCCCCGCGUGCGGGAUAACGGCCUACGGGUUGUAAACAGAUUUCGCAGGAAACGAAGCGUGAGUGACGGUAAUGGGUAAAGAAGCAACGGCUAACUACGUG
rnacentral:rRNA from 1 species